GACGAACGCUGGCGGCGCGCCUAACACAUGCAAGUCGAACGAGCGAGAGAGAGCUUGCUUUCUCGAGCGAGUGGCGAACGGGUGAGUAACGCGUGAGGAACCUGCCUCAAAGAGGGGGACAACAGUUGGAAACGACUGCUAAUACCGCAUAAGCGCACGUGGCCGCAUGGCACAGAGGGAAAAGGAGCAAUCCGCUGUGAGAUGGCCUCGCGUCCGAUUAGCUAGUUGGUGAGGUAAUGGCCCACCAAGGCGACGAGCGGUAGCCGGACGGAGAGGUUGACCCGCCACAUUGGGGCUGCGACACGGCCCAGACUCCUACGGGACGCAGCAGUGGGGAAUAUUGCACGAUGGGGGCAACCCUGAUGCCGCCACGCCGCGUGGAGGAAGAAUGUCUUCGGAUUGUAAACUCCUGUUGUUGGGGGAGAUAAUGACGGUACCCAACAAGGAAGUGCCGGCUAACUACGUG
rnacentral:rRNA from 1 species